rnacentral:rRNA from 1 species
UGCAGUCGAGCGGUAACAGAGAGUAGCUUGCUACUCUGCUGACGAGCGGCGGACGGGUGAGUAAUGCUUGGGAAUAUGCCUUAUGGUGGGGGACAACAGUUGGAAACGACUGCUAAUACCGCAUGAUGUCUACGGACCAAAGUGGGGGACCUUCGGGCCUCACGCCAUAAGAUUAGCCCAAGUGGGAUUAGCUAGUUGGUGAGGUAAUGGCUCACCAAGGCGACGAUCCCUAGCUGGUUUGAGAGGAUGAUCAGCCACACUGGGACUGAGACACGGCCCAGACUCCUACGGGAGGCAGCAGUGGGGAAUAUUGCACAAUGGGCGCAAGCCUGAUGCAGCCAUGCCGCGUGUGUGAAGAAGGCCUUCGGGUUGUAAAGCACUUUCAGUAAGGAGGAAAGGGGUGUAGCUAAUAUCUGCAUCCUGUGACGUUAGCGACAGAAGAAGCACCGGCUAACUCCGUGCCAGCAGCCGCGGUAAUACGGAGGGUGCGAGCGUUAAUCGGAAUUACUGGGCGUAAAGCGUGCGUAGGCGGUUUGAUAAGCCAGAUGUGAAAUCCCGGGGCUUAACCUCGGAACUGCAUUUGGAACUGUUUGACUAGAGUACUGUAGAGGGUGGUGGAAUUUCCAGUGUAGCGGUGAAAUGCGUAGAGAUUGGAAGGAACAUCAGUGGCGAAGGCGGCC